rnacentral:rRNA from 1 species
CCUGCCCUUUAGACGGGGACAACAUUCCGAAAGGAGUGCUAAUACCGGAUGUGAUCAUCGUGCCGCAUGGCAGGAUGAAGAAAGAUGGCCUCUACAAGUAAGCUAUCGCUAAAGGAUGGGCCUGCGUCUGAUUAGCUAGUUGGUAGUGUAACGGACUACCAAGGCGAUGAUCAGUAGCCGGUCUGAGAGGAUGAACGGCCACAUUGGGACUGAGACACGGCCCAAACUCCUACGGGAGGCAGCAGUGGGGAAUCUUCCGCAAUGGACGAAAGUCUGACGGAGCAACGCCGCGUGAGUGAUGAAGGAUUUCGGUCUGUAAAGCUCUGUUGUUUAUGACGAACGUGCAGUGUGUGAACAAUGCAUUGCAAUGACGGUAGUAAACGAGGAAGCCACGGCUAACUACGUGCCAGCAGCCGCGGUAAUACGUAGGUGGCGAGCGUUGUCCGGAAUUAUUGGGCGUAAAGAGCAUGUAGGCGGCUUAAUAAGUCGAGCGUGAAAAUGCGGGGCUCAACCCCGUAUGGCGCUGGAAACUGUUAGGCUUGAGUGCAGGAGAGGAAAGGGGAAUUCCCAGUGUAGCGGUGAAAUGCGUAGAUAUUGGGAGGAACACCAGUGGCGAAGGCGCCUUUCUGGACUGUGUCUGACGCUGAGAUGCGAAAGCCAGGGUAGCGAACGGGAUUAGAUACCCCGGUAGUCCUGGCCGUAAACGAUGGGUACAAGGUGUAGGAGGUAUCGACCCCUUCUGUGCCGGAG